rnacentral:tRNA from 1 species
GUUUCAGUAGCAUAGUGGUUAAUGCACAGGCUCGUAUAAGUUGAGAAGCGGGUUCAAAUCCCGCCUGAGAUG